rnacentral:rRNA from 1 species
GUACACGCUGUGACUAGCAUAUCAAUAAGCGGAGGAAAAGAAACUAACAAGGAUUCCCCUAGUAACGGCGAGUGAAGCGGGAAGAGCUCAAAUUUGAAAUCUUAAAGGGUUUCCCUUUACGAAUUGUAGUUUAAAGAAGUGUUUUCUGUUGAGGUUUUGGUAAAAGUUCUUUGGAAUAGGACAUCAUAGAGGGUGAGAAUCCCGUAUUUGACCUUUACUUUCAACUUUGUGAUAUACUUUCAAAGAGUCGGAUUGUUUGGGAAUGCAGUCCAAAAUGGGUGGUAAAUUUCAUCUAAAGCUAAAUAUUGGCGAGAGACCGAUAGCGAACAAGUACCGUGAGGGAAAGAUGAAAAGAACUUUGAAAAGAGAGUUAAACAGUACGUGAAAUUGUCAAAAGGGAAGCGUUUGACACCAGUGUUGUUUUUCUGAAAAUCAAUUAAAGAACUGUUUAUGCUAAGUUGUUUAGACUUUAUCAGCUAACUGUUUAGUUUUGAGCUUUUCUUUAAUGCACUUUUCAGUUAACAAGUCAACAUCAAUUUCUUUUGCUGUAAAAAAGCUUGAGGAAGGUGGCUUGAGAUUCGUCUUAAGUGUUUAUAGCCUCUUGCCUAUGCAGUCGGAGAGAUUGAGGUCUGCAGCGUAGAUCCUUCGGGGCUAAAUGCAUUUGUGCUAAGUUAUAGCAUUUUAUAGACAACUUGUUGACUAUGAUUUGUCUUGUAGCUUACUCGCUUAUGUUAUUUUACCUACGCUUAGGAUGUUGAGUCGUAGAGCACGCAG